rnacentral:rRNA from 1 species
GAUGAACGCUAGCGGCAGGCUUAAUACAUGCAAGUCGAGGGACAGCACAGGUAGCAAUACUGGGUGGUAACCGGCAAACGGGUGCGGAACACGUACACAACCUUCCUUUAAGUGGGGGAUAGCCCAGAGAAAUUUGGAUUAAUACCCCGUAAUAUAGUUGAAUGGCAUCAUUUGAUUAUUAUAGCUACGGCGCUUAAUGAUGGGUGUGCGGCUGAUUAGGUAGUUGGCGGGGUAACGGCCCACCAAGUCUACGAUCAGUAGCUGAUGUGAGAGCAUGAUCAGCCACACGGGCACUGAGACACGGGCCCGACUCCUACGGGAGGCAGCAGUAAGGAAUAUUGGUCAAUGGACGCAAGUCUGAACCAGCCAUGCCGCGUGGAGGAUUAAGGUCCUCUGGAUUGUAAACUUCUUUUAUUUGGGACGAAAAAGGGCCUUUCUAGGUCAACUGACGGUACCAGAUGAAUAAGCACCGGCUAACUCCGUGCCAGCCGCCGCUGUAACAC